GGAGGGUGCAAGCGUUAUCCGGAUUCACUGGGUUUAAAGGGUGCGUAGGUGGGUUGGUAAGUCAGUGGUGAAAUCUCCGAGCUUAACUUGGAAACUGCCAUUGAUACUAUCAAUCUUGAAUAUUGUGGAGGUUAGCGGAAUAUGUCAUGUAGCGGUGAAAUGCUUAGAUAUGACAUAGAACACCAAUUGCGAAGGCAGCUGGCUACACAUAUAUUGACACUGAGGCACGAAAGCGUGGGGAUCAAACAGGAUUAGAUACCCUGGUAGUCCACGCCGUAAACGAUGUCUACUAGCCGUUGGGAGACUUGAUUUCUUAGUGGCGCAGCUAACGCAAUAAGUAGACCGCCUGGGGAGUACGGCCGCAAGGUUA
rnacentral:rRNA from 1 species